rnacentral:rRNA from 1 species
CCUACGGGAGGCAGCAGUGAGGAAUAUUGGUCAAUGGUCGGGAGACUGAACCAGCCAAGCCGCGUGAGGGAUGAAGGUACAGAGUAUCGUAAACCUCUUUUGUCAGGGAACAAAGGCGGGGACGUGACCGCGGAUGAGUGUACCUGAAGAAAAAGCAUCGGCUAACUCCGUGCCAGCAGCCGCGGUAAUACGGAGGAGGCGAGCGUUAUCCGGAUUUAUUGGGUUUAAAGGGGGCGCAGGCGGGCUGUUAAGUAAGCGGUCAACGCCCGGGGCUCCCCCCCGGCCCGCCGUUGAAACUGGCAGUCUCGAGUUGGCGAGACGUAUGCGGAAUGCGCGGUGUAGCGGU